CCCAAAAUAGAGAAGAUGUCAACCGCAGGUGUUCUCACGGUCUUAACCAAUCAGAGUGCACUGCCUGAAUUAGCACUCGUACAAGGAGAAACAAAUAUGGCAGAGGAGUUCCAAAUUGAGAGUAUUAGUGAUGAGGCAGGCAGUCAGAGCAGUCAAGAACUAGAUGGCCCAGUGGUACAAGGCUUGGAAGAGGUGGGAGAUCAGGAAGAUUGACCCAAGAACAUGAAGAGAGAAUUCAGUAUCUCAGAGAAGAGAACUUGGGGGCAUGCAUGAUGGUGUUGACAGAAAUCCUGCCCCUGCACUGGAUAUAUGGAUGCUUCUGCCAGAAAAUUUUACAAGGAAUUACCCAGCACAGUGGAGAUGGGAAUGUGCAAUCUCCCACUCACUAUAAUGUCCCCUACAUUUUGACUGCUGGUAAAUCUGCUUGAUUACUUCUCUCUGAAGAAAAUCACAGAAAAACUAUUACCUUGAGUAUCUGUUUACAGACCAAACAUUCUUUUUAUAGUUUAUUUUAUAUGACUUUCAAAUUCCUUGUGGAUAUUCACUUUCCAAUAUUAAAAUCUAGUAGAAAAAAAAGUUGUUUAUUACUUGUAAUUUAGAACAUGCAUAAUUAUGUUUUUUAAGGUAUCUUUCAAGACUUAUUAAAUGGGUUGAUUAGUUGUUCUAUAACAUGCAUUCCAAGUAGGAUUUAAUCAUCAGUUUUCCAUUCUUAUUUUAACAAAGCUUGAGUUAAUAAGACCUGUUUUAUGCAAGUCGUUGAGUUAAAAGAUUCUUUUCAUUCUACUGUAAUCUGUGCAACAAUUCAGUAAAUGUAGAAAAUAAAGGUAUGGAAAAAUAA